rnacentral:rRNA from 15 species
AUGUCUAAACCUUAUCAUUUAGAGGCUGGUGAAGUUGUAUCAAGGUUUCCGUAA